rnacentral:rRNA from 1 species
UAAGCGGAGGAAAGAACUAACAAGGAUUUCCCUAGUAGCGGCGAGCGAAACGGAAAGAGCCCAGCUUGGAAAUCGGGGUGUCUCUGCACCCCGAAUUGUAGUCUGGAGAAGGGUCCUCUGCAGCGGACCGGGUUUAAGUCCCUUGGAACGGGACGCCAGAGAGGGUGAGAGCCCCGUCUAGCCCGGACCCUGCUGCAUCACGAGGCUCUUUCGGCGAGUCGGGCUGUUUGGGAAUGCAGCCUUAAGUGGGUGGUAAAUUCCAUCCAAGGCUAAAUACUGGUGAGAGACCGAUAGCGCACAAGUACCGCGAGGGAAAGAUGAAAAGGACUUUGAAAAGAGAGUUAAAAAGUGCUUGAAAUUGCUGGGAGGGAAGCGAAUGGAUGCCUUGUGCGCCCCUUGGUUGUGUGUGGAACGGCGAGAGCUGGUCUGCCAAGCAAUGCAAGGGGCUGUCCAGCAUGGGAGGACGCGGCGGGAUAACGGCUUGUGAGCCUCUGGCUCCCUGCCAAUGCCGCCGCUGCCUCUGAAAAUGGCGGGGUGCUCCGGUGCCCCGCCAGAUGCUGGAACUUGGGCGUUCCAUCCGACCCGUCUUGAAACACGGACCAAGGAGUCUAACAUGUAUGCGAGUCUGUGGGUGCUAAACCCGUACAGGCGAAAGGAAACUAAUUCGUGGGAUCCCCUUCGGGGGUGCACCACGGACCGACCUUGAUCUUUUGAGAAGGGUUUGAGUGUUAGCAUACCUGCUGGGACCCGAAAGAUGGUGAACUAUGCCUGAGCAGGGCGAAGCCAGAGGAAACUCUGGUGGAGGCUCGUAGCGAUACUGACGUGCAAAUCGUUCGUCAGACUUGGGUAUAGGGGCGAAAGACUAAUCGAACCAUCUAGUAGCUGGUACCCUCCGAAGUUUCCCUCAGGAUAGCUGGAGCUCUUGCUGAGUUUUAUCGGGUAAAGCGAAUGAUUAGAGGCAUCGGGGGUGAAACACCCUCGACCUAUUCUCAAACUUUAAAUAGGUAAAGCAGCCGGGGUUGCUCUGUUGAGCCCCGGCCGUGAAUGCGAGCUCCAAGUGGGCCAUUUUUGGUAAGCAGAACUGGCGAUGCGGGAUGAACCGAA